AUUGAACGCUAGCGGGAUGCCUUACACAUGCAAGUCGAACGGAGUGGCGAACGGGUGAGUAAUGUAUCGGAACGUGCCCAGUAGCGGGGGAUAACUACGCGAAAGCGUAGCUAAUACCGCAUACUAUCGGAGCGGCCGAUUUCGGAUUAGCUAGUUGGUGGGGGAACGGCUCACCAAGGCGACGAUCCGUAGCUGGUUUUAGAGGACGACCAGCCAAACUGGGACUGAAACACGGCCCAGACUCCUACGGGAGUCAGCAGUGGGGAAUUUUGGACAAUGGGGGAAACCCUGAUCCAGCCAUCCCACGUGUGCGAUGAAGGCCUUCGGGUUGUAAAGAACUGUUGGCAGGAGAGCGGUACCUGCAGAAUAAGCACCGGCUAACUACGUGCCAGCAGCCGCGGUAAUUC
rnacentral:rRNA from 1 species